UGCCCACGCACAGGCCCACGCAUCCACACAAGUGGGCCGGAGACCUCGGAUAGCGGCAGAGGCGCACAUUGUUCUCUUGCUGCUUUUUUUUUUUGGUGCACCCUUGCGUGCUUCUCAUGCUGCGUCGCCGCUCUACUGCGUUGGCGGCGAGGAAGCUGCCCAAUCCGGGCAGCUCGCUUCUUAACCCUCGCAGCUAUCGCGCCAAGCUGCGCCGUGCUGCAGCCAUGGGGGCGCAGCAAGAGGCGCACUUUGAACAGCAAGCCAUGCUUGCUGAGCUCGGUGGGCCCGGCAGGACAGGGGCCGCAUCACCGCCCCUGUCCUCCUCUUCGCGUACGGCGAAGAGUCGCAAACAGCGCCGCAAGCAUCAUGUACAGCAAGUGGUUGGCAAGGACGUCGCCGAGCGCGCCAAGUCGAUGACAGAUGCGGAGUGGGAGAGUUUACCUAUGGCGGACAAGCAUGCAUUCACUAAGUACAUGAGCAAGCUCUUGCGCGAGCACCCGACGGAGGCGACAGAGCAGCAGCGGCGUCGCUACUUUGAAACGACCAUGGCUGACCCGCGCGACCUCGAUCCGAGUCGCACCGUGCGAGACGAGUUCGAGCGACUGAAGAUGGGGCUGCCCGUGCAGCUCAAAGACCCACAGCGUUCACUUGGCGUCUCGCAGGCCAUAUUCGAGGCCGGUGACGCAAGCCUGUUUGACCCUGACAAGGUGGACGCACUGGAAGAUGCAAUGGUGCAGAUUAAGCAGGUGUUUACGGACUACGUGCGACAGCGCCGCGAGGGCGUGAGCACGGAAACGGCCCGCCGCAAGCUGGCGAACAUGCUGGCAGACUUGAACGUCGAGACGCAGCGACAUCUGAGCCACAUGUUCAAGUACGCGGAGGAGAGGGUUCGGCAGGAGGCGCGCGAGGAGCGGAAGCGGCAGCUGAGCGAGCUGCAGCGGCUGCGGCGACUUGUAUCGUCGCCAACACGGCAUCGCACUUCUCCGUCGUCCGAGCCAUCUGCUCCGACCCCCUCCACCGGUGCGUCGGUACCGGAAGGCGGCGCGUGCCCUUCGACGUCGUGCUCAGCAGUGGAUGCAGGCCUAGGCGCCGGCCAUGACACCUUCUCUCCGUCUCCUGCAGCUCUUGCCAAGACGAAGAAGCGCGCCGCCUUGAGCCGGUCACUGGGCAAGGCUCUCGGCUUGGAGCUCAGCGUCGUGGAGAGCCUCAUCACGGAGCUGGAGGCGCAGGAGAAGUUCAUGCAGUUCUGUGAGGUGUUUGCUCGCCUCACCGUCUCCCAGGGGUUCCGCCACGGCCCCGAGGACGAGCGCCUCGACGCAUACACGGAGAGCCUUAGGCGGCUGUACUCCGUAGACGCGAAUAAGCUCAGCACACUUGACGUUGUGCAGUACCUCGCCGCCAAGGAGGAGGCGCACCCAGUGGACUGGGCAAAGCGGUGGUACGAGCGCCUUGUCCGCAUCCCGCUCGAGCACACGACGGAGUACAAGCGACUGGAGGCGAUCCGCGACGGCGACACGGCGGCGCUGGAGCUGCAAGCCCGGGUCGCGCGCGAGGCGGACGCGCCGGUGUCCGCAGGCCACGAAGCCGCCAUGCAGGCCGAGCGGGCGGCUGCCGGUGGGCGCACGCAGCAGGCGGUGCGCCUGGUAGAGAAGAUGUUCAUGCGCCCAGACGACCCACGGCUGAAGAGUUUACACGAGCGGAGACUGCGGUACAUCGCCUAUUUGCAGAUGGAGCGGCAGAUCGCGCAGGCACGUGAAAACGCGAAGAUUUUCGAGGGUGUCGAAGCGACAGCAGAAGCGGCGGAGUGCCGAAAACUCUACGCGCAGCUCAUGGAGCGUAAGCAGCGGCUCGCCGCGCUCGGCGACUCUGUCAACUCCUCAGCAGCUUCCACCACCGAGGCUGGCGGCACCGAAUCGAUGGGCGGCUCUGCCGCUGCGACCUCCGGUGAUGUCGCUACCGCAGUCGCCGCGACUGCCGGCAACGCGAACGUGUUUGAGCAAGACGCUGAGGCUGCCGCAUUGUUCGAGCAAAUUGGCCGCAUCACCCAAUCAGUCAUCCGUACCUACAGCCGAGAGACACGCCGACGUAGCAAGGCCGCCGCCAAGGCUGAGGUAUUCACGCGUGUGAUGCAGCAGGUUGGCCUCACGAACGCGGACGGCAGCCGUGCCGGCCGCGCCGAGGAGCUUCAGCGGCUGCUGCAGGCGAAGAAGGACAAGGUGGCGCAGCGUCUGCUGAAUGUACUAGAGGCGGACGUGAAGUCCGACUUGGAGUGGCUGGAUGCCAUGGACGAGGCUGAGCGGCCACCGCUUCUGCCCAUCCCAGAAGGCAUGUCCUACGUCUCUGCCGCGGAUGUGCAGGCCUGGAAGGAGGUCCGGGAUGCUGACAAGGCCCUUUCUGCCGACCCGUUUCGCAAGAACAAGAAGCGGUUUCAGCCACAGCUUUUUGGGCAGCAGUGGCAACUGCCUGAUAAGCCGCUUCUGUUUUGGGGCACCGGAACACGGGCGGUGCAGCAGGCGCUGGAACACGCCGCUGACGAUGCAGAGCGGCGCCGUCGUGGUGAGCCGCUGGCGCCGCCGUACCCCUGCCCAGAGAAUCCGUGGGGCUGGAGACUCGUCAAGGACGUCCUCGAUGAUUAAACAACCCCAGGGCCCUCGUGAGGAGGUGGUGCGCCCUCCUGCCUGCACGUGUGUGCCUGGGUGUCUUCUUCACAUGUCUGCCUGCACUCAUGCUGUACCCGCGCAUACGCACACGCGUGCGCUCAUUCCGCGUCCGCGUUCCUCUGCGCGGCGCUUUGGAUGCAUCUGUGCUCUGUUGUGUGCAUGCCUGCGCCCCCCCCCCCCCGAGGAUGUUUUCUUCCUUUCCUCAUAAUCGCUCCCCUCUAUCACACUAACGCCAAACACCCAUCAACAAGCAACUGCGUCGUCGUAUUUCGUCUUUUUCUUAUGGGAGAGCAGUGCGUCUCAUACUCGCCCCCCGAGUGCUCGCACGAAUUCGACGUUCUUACCUCAUCCCCUCUUGCGAGAAACCACCGUGGACGGAUGGCUUUCGCGUGCCUUCGUCUGUCGUUGUGCAGCGGCGCAUGCGAGGAUGCCGAUUCCUCGUUAUUACUGUUUUUUUUUUCUUGUGUGGACGCGACGGUGAUCAUACGCUUACGCGCUCUUCUCGCUGCCUCGCCAUCGACUAUUUCGGGGGCGAGGAUAGAUGCCAGAGGUACACGUCUGCUCCACCGCUGGCUCUCUCUCGCGUGUGCCACCCAUAUCUUUUUUGGAUCUCUUUCUCUCUCUCGUCCUCAUCCGCCCCUCCUCACGCGGCCACAUGGCACCGCCGCUGCUGCGGUGCUGCGGCCCCAUAUUCCUUUCUUCCCUCUCCCACUCGCGCCCUCCCACGUCGAUGCGUAG
rnacentral:misc_RNA from 1 species